rnacentral:RNase_P_RNA from 1 species
AUCGCAUCAAUUUUUUGAUGAGGAAAGUCCGAGCAUCAAGAGAACUGGGUGCCGAUUAACGGUCGGCGGAGGCGACUCUAGGGAUAGUGCAACAGAAAUAAACCGCCAUUUAAUGGUAAGGAUGGAAAGGUGGUGUAAGAGACCACCGCUUGACUAGAGAUAGUCAAGGCUCUGUAAACCCCACCUGAUGCAAGGUCAAAAGGACAAAAAGCGCUUGUUCUCUCGCGUCCUUUAACGAACCGCUUGAGCCUGCUGGCAACAGCAGGUCUAGAUAGAUGAUUGUCAAAUACAGAACUCGGCUUAUAGCAUA